GACGAACCGUGCAAACGUUGUUCGGAAUCACUGGGCUUAAAGGGCGCGUAGGCGGGCAUUUAAGUCAGGGGUGAAAUCCCCCAGCUCAACUGGGGAACUGCCUUUGAUACUGGGUGCCUCGAGUGAGGUAGGGGCGUGCGGAACUGAUGGUGGAGCGGUGAAAUGUGUUGAUAUCAUCAGGAACUCCGGUGGCGAAAGCGGCGCGCUGGACCUCAACUGACGCUGAUGCGCGAAAGCCAGGGGAGCAAACGGG
rnacentral:rRNA from 1 species